UACGUAGGGUCCGAGCGUUGUCCGGAAUUACUGGGCGUAAAGAGCUCGUAGGUGGUUUGUCGCGUUGUUCGUGAAAACUCACAGCUCAACUGUGGGCGUGCGGGCGAUACGGGCAGACUGGAGUACUGCAGGGGAGACUGGAAUUCCUGGUGUAGCAGUGGAAUGCGCAGAUAUCAGGAGGAACACCGGUGGCGAAGGCGGGUCUCUGGGCAGUAACUGACGCUGAGGAGCGAAAGCGUGGGGAGCGAACAGG
rnacentral:rRNA from 1 species